rnacentral:lncRNA from 1 species
AACUCACUGCACUUAGGCACUGGACUACCUGAAUUUUUAAUUCAGUGACGGAAGGUUGCUGGGUGUAGUCAAGUACUUGACAUAUCGGUGCGUGUGUCAAGAUGGGAUUGACCACUCCAGUUUAGGAGCUGUGUACAGUCAUGUUUCAAUUUAGUAAAAUCUUGGCCAGGGUAGUCUUUGUGAGGAGUCACAGGACUGUUUGAGUUGAGCACGAUUCGGAUGAUCUAAUCAGGGUGGACAGUUUAACCCUGAGUCAUCCUAAACACA